CCUACGGGAGGCAGCAGUGAGGAAUAUUGGUCAAUGGACGAGAGUCUGAACCAGCCAAGUCGCGUGAAGGAUGACUGUCCUAUGGGUUGUAAACUUCUUUUAUAAAGGAAUAAAACGAGGCACGUGUGGCUUUUUGCAUGUACUUUAUGAAUAAGGAUCGGCUAACUCCGAGCCAGCAGCCGCGGUAAUACGGAGGAUCCGAGCGGUUUCCGGAUUUAUUGGGGUUAUAGGGGGCGGAGAUGGGGUGUUAAGUCAGUUGUGAAAGUUUGCGGCUCAACCGUAUAAUUGCAAUUGAUACUGGCUGUCUUGAGUGCAGUUGAGGUAGGCGGAAUUCGUGGUGUAGCGGUGAAAUGCUUAGAUAUCACGAAGAACCCCGAUUGCGAAGGCAGCUUAC
rnacentral:rRNA from 1 species